rnacentral:rRNA from 1 species
CAUUGUGUCUUCGAGUCGUUGAUUUCACACUGCCGAGAAAAGCCUCUAGAUAGAAAAUAGGUGCCCGUACCGCAAACCGACACAGGUAGUCAAGAUGAGAAUUCUAAGGUGAGCGAGCGAACUCUCGUUAAGGAACUCGGCAAAAUGACCCCGUAACUUCGGGAGAAGGGGUGCUCUUUAGGGUUAACGCCCAGAAGAGCCGCAGUGAAUAGGCCCAAGCGACUGUUUAUCAAAAACACAGGUCUCUGCUAAACCGUAAGGUGAUGUAUAGGGGCUGACGCCUGCCCGGUGCUGGAAGGUUAAGAGGAGUGGUUAGCUUCUGCGAAGCUACGAAUCGAAGCCCCAGUAAACGGCGGCCGUAACUAUAACGGUCCUAAGGUAGCGAAAUUCCUUGUCGGGUAAGUUCCGACCC